rnacentral:rRNA from 1 species
AACGAACGCUGGCGGCAUGCCUAACACAUGCAAGUCGAACGAGACCUUCGGGUCUAGUGGCGCACGGGUGCGUAACGCGUGGGAACCUGCCCUUAGGUUCGGAAUAACUCCCCGAAAGGGGUGCUAAUACCGGAUAAUGUCUUCGGACCAAAGAUUUAUCGCCUUUGGAUGGGCCCGCGUUGGAUUAGCUAGUUGGUAGGGUAAAAGCCUACCAAGGCGACGAUCCAUAGCUGGUCUGAGAGGAUGAUCAGCCACACUGGGACUGAGACACGGCCCAGACUCCUACGGGAGGCAGCAGUGGGGAAUAUUGGACAAUGGGCGAAAGCCUGAUCCAGUAAUGCCGCGUGAGUGAUGAAGGCCUUAGGGUUGUAAAGCUCUUUUACCCGGGAUGAUAAUGGCAGUACCGGGAGAAUAAGCUCCGGCUAACUCCGUG